rnacentral:tRNA from 1 species
ACUUUCAAAGGAUAAUAAUCCACUGGUUUUAGGUACCAGAAAUCUUGGUGUAAUCCCAUGUGAUAGUA